rnacentral:rRNA from 1 species
ACGCGGGCGUCAGGCUUACACAUGCAAGUCGAGCGGAGAGAGGUAGCUUGCUACUGAUCUUAGCGGCGGACGGGUGAGUAAUGCUUAGGAAUCUGCCUAUUAGUGGGGGACAACAUUUCGAAAGGAAUGCUAAUACCGCAUACGUCCUACGGGAGAAAGCAGGGGAUCUUCGGACCUUGCGCUAAUAGAUGAGCCUAAGUCGGAUUAGCUAGUUGGUGGGGUAAAGGCCUACCAAGGCGACGAUCUGUAGCGGGUCUGAGAGGAUGAUCCGCCACACUGGGACUGAGACACGGCCCAGACUCCUACGGGAGGCAGCAGUGGGGAAUAUUGGACAAUGGGCGCAAGCCUGAUCCAGCCAUGCCGCGUGUGUGAAGAAGGCCUUAUGGUUGUAAAGCACUUUAAGCGAGGAGGAGGCUACUUUAGUUAAUACCUAGAGAUAGUGGACGUUACUCGCAGAAUAAGCACCGGCUAACUCUGUGCCAGCAGCCGCGGUAAUACAGAGGGUGCAAGCGUUAAUCGGAUUUACUGGGCGUAAAGCGCGCGUAGGCGGCUAAUUAAGUCAAAUGUGAAAUCCCCGAGCUUAACUUGGGAAUUGCAUUCGAUACUGGUUAGCUAGAGUGUGGGAGAGGAUGGUAGAAUUCCAGGUGUAGCGGUGAAAUGCGUAGAGAUCUGGAGGAAUACCGAUGGCGAAGGCAGCCAUCUGGCCUAACACUGACGCUGAGUAGCGAUAGCA